rnacentral:rRNA from 1 species
AGCGAACGCUGGCGGCAGGCCUAACACAUGCAAGUCGAACGAACCUUUCGGGGUUAGUGGCGGACGGGGGAGUAACACGUGGGAACGUGCCUUUAGGUUCGGAAUAACUCAGGGAAACUUGUGCUAAUACCGAAUGUGCCCUUCGGGGGAAAGAUUUAUCGCCUUUAGAGCGGCCCGCGUCUGAUUAGCUAGUUGGUUGAGGUAAUGGCUCACCAAGGCGACGAUCAGUAGCUGGUCUGAGAGGAGGAUCAGCCACAUUGGGACUGAGACACGGCCCAAACUCCUACGGGAGGCAGCAGUGGGGAAUCUUGCGAAAUGGGCGAAAGCAUGACGCAGCCAUGCCGCGUGAAUGAUGAAGGUCUUAGGAUUGUAAAAUUCUUUCACCGGGGACGAUAAUGACGGUACCCGGAGAAGAAGCCCCGGCUAACUUCGUG